rnacentral:rRNA from 1 species
UACGUAGGGUGCAAGCGUUGUCCGGAAUUAUUGGGCGUAAAGAGCUCGUAGGCGGUCUGUCGCGUCUGCUGUGAAAACCUAGGGCUUAACUCUGGGCGUGCAGUGGGUACGGGCAGGCUGGAGUGCGGUAGGGGAGACUGGAAUUCCUGGUGUAGCGGUGAAAUGCGCAGAUAUCAGGAGGAACACCGGUGGCGAAGGCGGGUCUCUGGGCCGUAACUGACGCUGAGGAGCGAAAGCAUGGGGAGCGAACAGG